CAGGACGAACGCUGGCGGCGUGCCUAAUACAUGCAAGUCGAACGCUUCUUUUUCCACCGGAGCUUGCUCCACCGGAAAAAGAGGAGUGGCGAACGGGUGAGUAACACGUGGGUAACCUGCCCAUCAGAAGGGGAUAACACUUGGAAACAGGUGCUAAUACCGUAUAACAAUCGAAACCGCAUGGUUUUGAUUUGAAAGGCGCUUUCGGGUGUCGCUGAUGGAUGGACCCGCGGUGCAUUAGCUAGUUGGUGAGGUAACGGCUCACCAAGGCCACGAUGCAUAGCCGACCUGAGAGGGUGAUCGGCCACAUUGGGACUGAGACACGGCCCAAACUCCUACGGGAGGCAGCAGUAGGGAAUCUUCGGCAAUGGACGAAAGUCUGACCGAGCAACGCCGCGUGAGUGAAGAAGGUUUUCGGAUCGUAAAACUCUGUUGUUAGAGAAGAACAAGGAUGAGAGUAACUGUUCAUCCCUUGACGGUAUCUAACCAGAAAGCCACGGCUAACUACGUGCCAGCAGCCGCGGUAAUACGUAGGUGGCAAGCGUUGUCCGGAUUUAUUGGGCGUAAAGCGAGCGCAGGCGGUUUCUUAAGUCUGAUGUGAAAGCCCCCGGCUCAACCGGGGAGGGUCAUUGGAAACUGGGAGACUUGAGUGCAGAAGAGGAGAGUGGAAUUCCAUGUGUAGCGGUGAAAUGCGUAGAUAUAUGGAGGAACACCAGUGGCGAAGGCGGCUCUCUGGUCUGUAACUGACGCUGAGGCUCGAAAGCGUGGGGAGCAAACAGGAUUA
rnacentral:rRNA from 1 species